GACAUAGGUGGCGAACGUUAUCCGGAAUUAUUGGGCGUAAAGAGUGCGUAGGCGGCUCCAAAAGUCAGGGGUGAAAUCCGGCAGCUUAACUGUCGCAGUGCCUUUGAUACUGUGGAGCUCGAGGGAGGUAGGGGUCUGUGGAACUUCCGGUGGAGCGGUGAAAUGCGUUGAUAUCGGAAGGAACGCCGGUGGCGAAAGCGACGGACUGGAUCUCUUCUGACGCUGAGGCGCGAAAGCCAGGGGAGCAAACGGG
rnacentral:rRNA from 1 species